rnacentral:rRNA from 1 species
AUACGGAGGGUGCAAGCGUUACUCGGAAUCACUGGGCGUAAAGCGCGCGCAGGCGGCUAUUUAAGUUGGAUGUGAAAGCCAAUGGCUCAACCAUAGAACUGCAUCCAAAACUAUUUAGCUAGAGUGUGGGAGAGGAAGAUGGAAUUAGUUGUGUAGGGGUAAAAUCCGUAGAGAUAACUAGGAAUACCAAAAGCGAAGGCAAUCUUCUGGAACACUACUGACGCUGAGGCGCGAAAGCGUGGGGAGCAAACAGGAUUAGAAACCCUAGUAGUCC